GACGAACGCUGGCGGCGUGCUUAACACAUGCAAGUCGAGCGGAAAGGCUCCUUCGGGGGUACUCGAGCGGCGAACGGGUGAGUAACACGUGAGUAAUCUGCCCUUGGCUUCGGGAUAACUACCGGAAACGGUGGCUAAUACCGGAUAUGACCACUCCUUGCAUGAGGUGGUGGUGGAAAAGUUUUUUUCGGCCAGGGAUGUGCUCGCGGCCUAUCAGCUUGUUGGUGGGGUAAUGCCUACCAAGGCUUCGACGGGUAGCCGGCCUGAGAGGUGACCGGCCACACUGGGACUGAGACACGGCCCAGACUCCUACGGGAGGCAGCAGUGGGGGAAUAUUGGACAAU
rnacentral:rRNA from 1 species